rnacentral:rRNA from 1 species
UAAAUAGUCAGGCUGGCUUUUUGCUGGUUGCAGACUUCUUAGAGGGACUGUUGGUGUCUAGCUGAUGGAAGUUUGAGGCAAUAACAGGUCUGUGAUGCCCUUAGAUGUUCUGGGCUGCACGCAUGCUACACUGACAGAGCCAGCAAGUUAUCUCACCUUGGCCAGAAGGCUCUG